UGUGGUUACAAUAGCAGAGAGGAUACACCUGUUCCCAUUCCGAACACAGAAGUUAAGCUCUCUAGCGCUGAUGGU
rnacentral:rRNA from 1 species